rnacentral:rRNA from 1 species
AACGAACGCUGGCGGCAUGCCUAACACAUGCAAGUCGAACGAGACCUUCGGGUCUAGUUGCGCACGGGUGCGUAACGCGUGGGAACCUGCCCUUAGGUUCGGAAUAACUCCCCGAAAGGGGUGCUAAUACCGGAUAAUGUCUUCGGACCAAAGAUUUAUCGCCUUUGGAUGGGCCCGCGUUGGAUUAGCUAGUUGGUAGGGUAAAAGCCUACCAAGGCGACGAUCCAUAGCUGGUCUGAGAGGAUGAUCAGCCACACUGGGACUGAGACACGGCCCAGACUCCUACGGGAGGCAGCAGUGGGGAAUAUUGGACAAUGGGCGAAAGCCUAAUACAGCAAUGCCGCGUGAGUGAUGAAGGCCUUAGGGUUGUAAAGCUCUUUUACCCGGGAUGAUAAUGACAGUACCGGGAGAAUAAGCCCCGGCUAACUCCGUG